rnacentral:sRNA from 1 species
CCAGCCCAUUAACCCCUGUCCUCUCCUGCCCUUAGGGACAUGCGGCUAUCAAUCACGGGGACCUUGGCAGAGAGCAUUGUGGCUCAGGCUUUGGCAGGCCUGAGUGCAGCCCGGGAUCGGCUGGUGGAGAGUCUGGCUCAGCAGGCAACAGUGACAAUGCCCCCUGCCCUACCAGCACCAGAUGGAGGUGAGCCCAGCCUCCUUGAGCCUGGGGAAUUGGAAGGUCUUUUCUUCCCCGAGGAGAAGGAAGAGGAGGAGGAGAAGGAUGACAGUCCUCCACAGAAACGGCCUGAGCUCAGCCACGGUCUUCACCUGGUCCCCUUCAUUCACAGUGCUGCUGAGGAAACGGAGCCGGAGCCCGAGCUGGCGGCUCCGGGAGAAGAUGCGGAGCCGCAGGCGGGGCCGUCCGCGCGCGGCUCUCCGAGCCCUGCCGCCCCCGGGCCCCCGGCCGGCCCGCUGCCCCGCAUGGACCUGCCACCGGCGGGGCAGCCCCUGCGCCAUCCGACCCGGGCCCGGCCGCGGCCGC